rnacentral:rRNA from 1 species
UGGGGAAUCUUGCACAAUGGGGGCAACCCUGAUGCAGCGACGCCGCGUGAGCGAUGAAGCCCUUCGGGGCGUAAAGCUCUUUCGACCGGAACGAUAAUGACGGUACCGGGAGAAGAAGCUGCGGCUAACUACGUGCCAGCAGCCGCGGUAAUACGUAGGCAGCAAGCGUUGUUCGGAGUUACUGGGCGUAAAGAGUGCGUAGGCGGUUUUCUAAGUUCGGUGUGAAAUCUCCCGGCUUAACUGGGAGGGUGCGCCGAAGACUGGGAAGCUGGAGUGUGGGAAAGGCAGGCGGAAUUCCUGGUGUAGCGGUGAAAUGCGUUGAUAUCAGGAGGAACGCCGGCGGUGUAGACGGCUUGCUAGACCAUAACUGACGCUGAGGCACGAAAGCGUGGGUAGCAAACA